GUCGCUAUUGGUCUGGUGGUUUACUCUCUCUACGCGCCGAAGCUUGAGGCUGCCUUCAAAACUAGGUCAAGCUCGGGAAUUGAUUCAUCUACAGGUGCGACUCCGCCUCUCUGGCUCCCUCCCUCUAUUCUCGCUGCUCUCUGCAAGACUGCAACUCCGCCUCUCUGGCUCUCUCUCUCACAAUCAGUCUUCCUCACCUCUGCGGCUCUUCCUCUCAGCUCUCACUCUUGACCCUCGGCGUCAGCAAAUCCAAUCUCCUCUCCAGAACCCUCAACGUCGACGUAGCUGGCCAAUCGGUCAUC
rnacentral:lncRNA from 1 species